AGCUCCAAGAGCGUAUAUUAAAGUUGUUGCAGUUAAAAAGCUCGUAGUCUGAAUUUGAGGAUUCUGGUAGUUUAGGGGUCUGUCGGAAGAUGGGCUGACCGGCUACUUGGCCUCAAACACCUAGUUGAUGCCUCUGCUCUUAAUUGAGUGGGGGUUUAGGCUGGGUCUUUUACCUUGAAGAAAUUGGAGUGUUCAAAGCAGAUAUUCUUUCGUCUUGCACAUAUUAGCAUGGGACAAUGAAAGAAGACCGCGUCAGAGUCUGGUAGUAACUCGGGCGCGGUAAUGAUCGAUAGGGGCGAUGGGGGCGGUUGGUAUUCAGCGGCUAGAGGUGAAAUUCUUAGAUUCGCUGCAGACUCCCGGAAGCAAAAGCGUUCCGCUACUGUACCCCCG
rnacentral:rRNA from 1 species